rnacentral:lncRNA from 1 species
UAGAUUAUUCUUUGACCAAUUGCAAAGGCUUCCCCCACGACUUCCCAUAAUAAUUAGUAAAUUAUUAAGAUCUGUUGCUUAAACAAAUACAAAAAGAUAAGAUUAAAUCAUAUUUGGAUUGAGACAAAAAGGAUCAUGACUACGACUUUUUAACUUAUCAGGACAAAAGGUCUCUGUCUUGCAUCAUCAUUCAAUCACCGCCGUCCAUAUCUCCAAUCAUGUUUGGUUUGUGUCGAUGAUGUGGCAACUGAUCAACAUAUAACUACCCCUGUGGCCC